AGACUUAUUCAGCGAAGUACAGCAGGAUGCAGGAAAUGAGUAUUCUUUUAGGUAUACAAUAUCUUUAUUGUAAUGUUUGUAAUGUCCAUUUAUAGUCUUUACACAAAGCAGCUUGCCUCUUUUAAUCUCUAAAAACCAGCUAAUUUCAAGACGUCACGUGGGUCACCUGCGUGUGUAAGACGGUCAAAGCUCAAGACGUUUGGAGAUGUUCAGUUUGAGGUUCGAUCGAUCGGUCGGUUGGUCGUUCAAACGUUUCAUUUUGGCACAGAGUCGGCUACAUAAGGAGCUUAAAAUAUCAUCUUGUUGUGUUGUAGAGUGUCAGAAUCGAUGGAGUACAGGCUCCAAUUUGAAAUUUUAUCGCAUACCUGCUGCCAUUGCCAGACAGAAAUAAAACAAGCAGACUGGACAAAAAUAACGAUCAUCAAAAAUGCUCGUGUUUGCAGCGCACAAUUCAUAUCAGUUAAGGUUAAAUAAACUAUUGUCUUUUGUUGGUAUGGAUUAUGGUUUCUCAUGCAUGCCCACCUAAUCAAAAAUUGGGGAACAAGUUAAUGUCACGGUUCAGGGUGCUUCAUCGGCUUCCCUGUUGUCUGUGUCCUGUCAUUUGCUGCAGCUCGUGACCUGGGCAAUCAGCGCUGAUAAUUCAGCGCUGGUGUGUGCAGAUCACGAGCUGAUUGUCCUCACCUGUUGCUAGUUCCCAUUCUCCCUUUUAUUCUCUGCUGUGUCUGUCCCUUGUUGUCAGUAGAUUUCGCGUUGUCAUUGUUAUUGUGCUGUGUGUCUGUUUCCUCACCUUUACCGCUGUUGUGCUCAGGACGUCUAGACGAGGAGUCUUUCGUUGGCCGUGUGCCCGAGUGCCCGAGAUCCUCUGUCUCGCUUUCCACGUCCCGUUGGGCAUUGCACCAGAGGUGGUCUCCACAGCCUGUGUCCGCAGGUGUCUGUACGGACGGCUCUGGAGUUGUUACACCAGGCUUCAGUUUGUGUGUGUGUGUGACAUUCACACGUUGGAUUAUUUUGGUAUUUUUUGUUGUACCCAAUAAACUGUUGCACGAAUCCUCGGCGUUUGAGUUCUCUCUCUUCGCGUUCCUGACAGUUAACUAACGACCAGAGGCAUAAAGGAAACUGUUUGUGUCGUUUUGCUUUCUACAAUUGGCGUAAGUGCAAUCACAGAGAGA
ensembl:lncRNA